rnacentral:rRNA from 1 species
ACACCCCUACCUAGUGGAGGAAAGAUGCCUCAUGUAAUUCAAUGUUAAGUAAAAUCAUUGUUACUGGAUAAAAUGUACCAAUAGUUAAUAAUAAAAUUUACAGUACACAGCUCUAUUGGGCUGUCAUAUAGAUCAGAACUCUCUUAAAGAGAGAAACAAGAAACUUUUGACUUAUCAUUUCUAUUUAAUUAUAUUGUUGCUGUAGUUAUUUUUAUUUAAUCAGUUAAACAAAACACUAUGGCUCAUUAAUAAAAAAUUUAUUAAAUAAUUUUACAGAAACUUAUGUAGUUGUUGUUAUCCUUUUAUAACUAGAAAAUUUAUUCAUUCUCAAAAACCACCUACGU